CUUGAACCAUUCGAGCAUGUCAAGCCACUUGUAUUGAUAGUAGCGGAUCACCCCCAUCUGCUCACUCCAGUCGAGCCAGUGAGGUUAGGCCCUCCAGGGGGACCGGCAGCUAUCCGUACAAGACUGGGUUGGACGCUUCAGGGACCGACUCACCUCAUCCAGUGGAUAGCAUGCGCAGAACAGUGCCUCCUUACCAGUGUUUCACCGCAGACAACAGAGUUGAUGAGAAAUGUUGAGAAACUCUGGCAGAUGGAUGUGCUGCCUUUUCAGAGGGACAAGAUGGCAGUGAGAUCGAAGCAAGACAAGGAGGCAAUAGAGCACCUGGAGGCAAAGACAAGGAGGGUAGAAGUUGCUGGCAUCUUUCGGUAUGCUACUCCGUUGCUACGGAAACAAGAUAUGCCCCUGUUCCACGCAUCCAAAGAGGCGGUUCUACUGAGCUUGAGGAGUACAGAGAAAAGAUUGGCUAAGGAUCCUCAACGUGCCAAAGCUUACUGUGAGGCAGUCAAUCAGCUGGUACAAUCAGGAGCUGUUAAGAAGUUGGGCCCAGAUGAGAUCUCAAUGACUGGUGAAUCAUGGUACAUACCUCAUCACCUAGUUAGCCAUAAUGGGAAGAACCGGCUUGUUUUCAACUGUUCCUACCAGUUUCGUGGACUGAAUCUGAAUGAUGCCCUUCUUCCAGGACCGACCUUGGGCGCAUCUCUUCUUGGGGUCCUGCUGCGCUUUAGGCAACAAGCAGUAGCAAUUAGUGGAGAUAUCAGGGGUAUGUUCCACCAAGUCCAGCUUCUGCCAGAAGACCGGCCACUUCUCAGGUUUGUGUGGAGAGAUAUGAAGCGAGAGGAUCCCCCUGAUACCUUCGAAUGGCAAGUUCUGCCUUUUGGUACCACCUGCUCACCUUGUUGUGCCACCUUUGCUCUUCAACGGCAUGCUAGAGAUCACAGUGUUCCAGGGGAUGGUGUCAGAGACUCUGUAGAACGCUGUUUCUACGUUGAUAAUUGCCUUCAGAGCGUGUCAACUGCAGCUGAAGCCAGAGGAUUGGUCGACAAACUCAGGGAGACUCUGGCAUCGGGUGGAUUUGAGAUCCGUCAGUGGGCAUGUAACAUCCUGAGUGCCAUCGGACAUCUGCCAAAGAAAGCAAGGUCGGACAGUAUGGAGCGCUGGCUCUCACAUGAUGACACAGGUCUGUCUGAAUCAACUCUUGGACUUAGUUGGCAUUGGGAAUCAGACAUCUUGGGGUAUAAGAGCCGCCCACUGGACUAUGGCAUACUGACUAUGCGCAAUGUGUAUAAAGUUCUAGCUCGG
rnacentral:lncRNA from 1 species